rnacentral:rRNA from 1 species
GAUGAACGCUGGCGGCGUGCCUAAUACAUGCAAGUCGAGCGAACAGACGAGGAGCUUGCUCCUCUGACGUUAGCGGCGGACGGGUGAGUAACACGUGGAUAACCUACCUAUAAGACUGGUAUAACUUCGGGAAACCGGAGCUAAUACCGGAUAAUAUAUUGAACCGCAUGGUUCAAUGGUGAAAGACGGUUGUGCUGGCACGUAUAGAUGGAUCCGCGCCGCAUGAGCUAGUUGGUAAGGUAAAGGCUUACCAAGGGAAGUAUGCGUGGCCGAAGUGAGUGGGUGGUAGGCCACCCUGGAGCUGGACCAGGCUCAAGGCUACUACGGGAGGCAGCAGUAGGGAAUCUGCCGCAAUGGUCGAAAGCAUGACGCAGCAACGCGGCGUGAGUGAUGACGGUCUUCGGAUCGUAAAACUCUCUUAUUAGGGAAGAACAAAUGUGUAAGUAACUAUGCACGUCUUGACGGUACCUAGUCAGAAAGCCACGGCUAACUACGUG